GUAACACGUAUGUAACAUGCCCUAUACAGGAGGAUAGGAUUGAGAAAUCGGUCAUAAUACUCCAUGUGUUAUAUCUUAGGCAUCUAAGGUAUAAUAAAGAUUUAUCGGUAUAGGAUUGACAUGCGCAUGAUUAGCUAGUUGGUAAGGUAACGGCUUACCAAGGCGACGAUCAUUAGGGGUCCUGAGAGGGAGAUCCCCCACACUGGUACUGAGACACGGACCAGACUCC
rnacentral:rRNA from 1 species